rnacentral:rRNA from 1 species
UCCUACGGGAGGCUGCAGUGGGGAAUCUUGCGCAAUGGACGAAAGUCUGACGCAGCGACGCCACGUGGGUGACGAAGGCCUUCGGGUUGUAAAGCCCUGUGGGGCGAGACGAACAGCUUCUGGUCGAACAGGCCAGGAGUUUGACGGUAUCGCCUUAGCAAGCACCGGCUAACUCUGUGCCAGCAGCCGCGGUAAUACAGAGGGUGCAAACGUUGCUCGGAAUUACUGGGCGUAAAGCGCGUGUAGGCGGUUUUAUGAGUCCGACGUGAAAGCCCGGGGCUCAACCCCGGAAGUGCGCUGGAUACUGUGAAGCUGGAGUCCUGAAGAGGAGAGCGGAAUUCCCGGUGUAGAGGUGAAAUUCGUAGAUAUCGGGAGGAACACCUGUGGCGAAGGCGGCUCUCUGGGCAGGUACUGACGCUGAGACGCGAAAGCGUGGGGAGCAAACAGGAUUAGAUACCCCGGUAGUCG